UGUUUGCAGAUUAAGCCGAGCCAUCU
rnacentral:piRNA from 1 species